GUGCUUGCCUUGGGGAGCACAUGCACUAAAAUUGGAAUGAUCCAGAGAAGAUCAGCAUGGCCCCUGUGCAAGGGUGACACGCAAAUUCAUGCAGUGCUCUGGAUUAAC
rnacentral:snRNA from 1 species